rnacentral:rRNA from 1 species
CAGCCGCCGCGGGAAUACAGAGGGUGCAAGCGUUAAUCGGAAUUACUGGGCGUAAAGCGCGCGUAGGUGGUUUGUUAAGUUGGAUGUAAAAUCCCCGGGCUCAACCUGGGAACUGCAUCAAAAACUGGCAAGCUAGAGUAUGGUAGAGGGUGGUGGAAUUUCCUGUGUAGCGGUGAAAUGCGUAGAUAUAGGAAGGAACACCAGUGGCGAAGGCGACCACCUGGACUGAUACUGACACUGAGGUGCGAAAGCGUGGGGAGCAAACAGGAUUAGAUACCCGUGUAGUCCCUGUCUCUUAUAC